GUUUCCUGUUUCCAUUUUCCUGCGGCAAAAUAGUCAGCUUACGGUGUGUAAAAACUAUUUCUAUUUUACAGCAAACAAUUAUUUCUUAACUUUAAUACCAUCAAAAAUAAAAAGACUGUGGAUAAAACGAAUAAUUAUUUAUGACUAACGAUAUCCAUUGCAAGUAUUGUAAUGUCUGUUGGAUUGUUUUUUUUUUUUUAAAAAGAUCCUUUUGCGAAACAGAAUAUAAUGUAGGGCAUUGGUUUACAAGAUUAUGUUUAGUUGAGUAAACCUAGUCCAUAUUAUUAUGAACAUUUCAUACGAAUUCCUUACAAAUUUAAAUAUUUUUAACUGCAAAGUGGAUUUACAUAUUUUUGGCAGGAAAUGAAUGAAAAUAGAAAUGGUGAAUCCUCUGAAAGAGAGACAGAGGAAAACGAACGUGAGCAGAUAUCCAGAGAAAAAAUUGCCUGUAGCAAACAAGCUAGAAGUGAUUCAUCAGACUCCAAGUCUGAACACGAACAUGCAAAGUCUCAUAGGGAAGGUCGAAGGAAUAGGGAUGAUUCAAAAAAGGAAAAAGAUCGUAGACGUCAUCAUCGCAGAAGACGAUCUCGAUCCCACUCUCGGCAUCGUCACAAGAGAUCAAGACAUCAUGGUUCACAUAAAUCGAAGUAUAGACAUCACCGAGAGUCGUCUUCUCGCCACUCAACUUCAAAACACCGACGCCGGAGGUCAAGAUCAAAGACAAGAUCUAGAUCUAGAUCGAGAACUCCAAGUCCUCCAAGAAUGAUUGAAAGAAGAGAGGAAUCUCCUAGAAUAAAACGAGAACCUCUACGGAUUAAAGCUAUGGAAGAAAGAAUGAAAAUGCUGAGAGAGCAGGCGGAACAAAUAACUGGCGUUGAAGUACCAAAGUAUUAUAAUCCAACGGCAGUGAAUCCUCUCAAAGUAGCUGAAAUUGAAAAAAAGAAGAAACUUCUAUGGGGUAAAAAAGAAAAGGUACCCGAAACAAAGAUAGCAGAGCCUGAAGCAAUUCAGGCUCAUGGAGAAUCAGUUUGGGCUUCCGCUCAAUUCUCUGAUAAUUCUUGUCAAGAGAAGUUUAGAAAAUUAAUGGGUAUGAAAGGAGAAAUGCAAACGCCCAAGAGCGAGACCUCUAAUAAACAAACGGAAUUAUUCAAUAAUUUGGAUAAGGAAUAUGCCUUGGCGAGAAUGAGUACUCAUACUCAUCGUGGAGUUGGUUUAGGAUUUGCAUCCUAUGCAUGCGACAGUUCUAAAAAAGAUGACUGAAUAAUUAAUUUAAAGAAAAACGAUUUUGUUUAUUUAAUACUAAAUUUAUACUUUAGUUUUUUUUCGCGUGUUCUCUUAAAAUUCACGCAGGAUUAUUCCAUUACACGACCUAUUCUAAAGAGAAAGCAGUGCGACAUCUUACACAUUUAAAUCAUUUAUUGUUCUUUUCGUUUACAUUUUAUACUGUUUUUCUUUCAUUAAAUUUAUCAAGUGUUAAUACUGUAACAUAAGUUGAACGUUUGUUAAAUAAACUGAGAAUUAUGGAAACAAUACAAAUGCAAGAAGAGAACUAUUACCCAAG
rnacentral:misc_RNA from 1 species